rnacentral:rRNA from 1 species
CUCGAACGGCAGCGUCGCUCCUUGAAAACUAAACACACACCACGCCAGUUUAUCUGUCUCGCGUAUGCGGGAUAGUGAGAUUUCAUUGAGAGUUUGAUCCUGGCUCAGGACGAACGCUGGCGGCGUGCCUAAUACAUGCAAGUCGAGCGGACAUCUUCGGAUGUCAGCGGCGGACGGGUGAGUAACACGUGGGCAAUCUGCCUUUCAGACCGGAAUAACACUCGGAAACGGGUGCUAAUGCCGGAUAGGUCACGAGGAGGCAUCUUCUUGUGAGGAAAGCUGCAAAUGCAGCGCUGGGAGAGGAGCCCGCGGCGCAUUAGCUAGUUGGUGAGGUAACGGCUCACCAAGGCGACGAUGCGUAGCCGACCUGAGAGGGUGACCGGCCACACUGGGACUGAGACACGGCCCAGACUCCUACGGGAGGCAGCAGUAGGGAAUCUUCCGCAAUGGGCGAAAGCCUGACGGAGCAACGCCGCGUGAGCGAAGAAGGCCUUCGGGUUGUAAAGCUCUGUUGCUCGGGGAGAGCGAUAAGGAGAGUGGAAAGCUCCUUAGGAGACGGUACCGAGUGAGGAAGCCCCGGCAAACUACGUGCCAGCAGCCGCGGUAAUACGUAGGGGGCAAGCGUUGUCCGGAAUCACUGGGCGUAAAGCGUGCGUAGGCGGUUGUGUAAGUCUGGAGUGAAAGUCCAUGGCUCAACCAUGGGAUGGCUUUGGAAACUGCAUGACUUGAGUGCUGGAGAGGCAAGGGGAAUUCCACGUGUAGCGGUGAAAUGCGUAGAUAUGUGGAGGAAUACCAGUGGCGAAGGCGCCUUGCUGGACAGUGACUGACGCUGAGGCACGAAAGCGUGGGGAGCAAACAGGAUUAGAUACCCUGGUAGUCCACGCCGUAAACGAUGAGUGCUAGGUGUUGGGGGGAUACACCUCAGUGCCGAAGGAAACCCAAUAAGCACUCCGCCUGGGGAGUACGGUCGCAAGACUGAAACUCAAAGGAAUUGACGGGGGCCCGCACAAGCAGUGGAGCAUGUGGUUUAAUUCGAAGCAACGCGAAGAACCUUACCAGGGCUUGACAUCCCUCUGACAGGUGCAGAGAUGUACCUUCCCUUCGGGGCAGAGGAGACAGGUGGUGCAUGGUUGUCGUCAGCUCGUGUCGUGAGAUGUUGGGUUAAGUCCCGCAACGAGCGCAACCCUUGACCUGUGUUACCAGCACGUAGAGGUGGGGACUCACAGGUGACUGCCGGCGUAAGUCGGAGGAAGGCGGGGAUGACGUCAAAUCAUCAUGCCCUUUAUGUCCUGGGCUACACACGUGCUACAAUGGGCGGUACAACGGGAAGCGAAGCCGCGAGGUGGAGCCAAACCCAGAAAGCCGUUCGUAGUUCGGAUUGCAGGCUGCAACUCGCCUGCAUGAAGCCGGAAUUGCUAGUAAUCGCGGAUCAGCAUGCCGCGGUGAAUCCGUUCCCGGGCCUUGUACACACCGCCCGUCACACCACGAGAGUCGGCAACACCCGAAGUCGGUGAGGUAACCCUUAGGGGAGCCAGCCGCCGAAGGUGGGGCGGAUGAUUGGGGUGAAGUCGUAACAAGGUAGCCGUAUCGGAAGGUGCGGCUGGAUCACCUCCUUUCU